rnacentral:rRNA from 1 species
CCUACGGGUGGCAGCAGUGAGGAAUAUUGGUCAAUGGGCGAGAGCCUGAACCAGCCAAGUCGCGUGAAGGAUGACGGCCCUACGGGUUGUAAACUUCUUUUGUCAGGGAGCAAUUGGGUCCACGCGUGGGCUUAGCGAGAGUACCUGAAGAAAAAGCAUCGGCCAACUCCGGGCAAGCAGCCGCGGUAAUACGGAGGAUGCGAGCUUGAUCCGGAUUUAUUUGGUUUAAAGGGUGCGUAGGCGGAAUAUCAAGUUGACGGUAAAGCUGCGGGGCUCAACCUCGUCGUGCCGUUGAAACUGAUGUUCUUGAGUGGGCGAGAGGUAUGCGGAAUGCGUGGUGUAGCGGUGAAAUGCAUAGAUAUCACGCAGAACUCCGAGUGCGAAGGCAGCAUACCGGCGCCCAACUGACGCUGAAGCACGAAAGCGUGGGUAUCGAACAGGAUUAGAUACCCCGGUAGUC